rnacentral:lncRNA from 10 species
GCACAGUGGAAUAUUAUGCAGCCAUUACAAAUAUUUACAAGGAAUUUUAAAUUACAUCAAAAAUAUUAUUUAACAUUCAUUGAUACAGGUGUUCAAAGGGGCAUAUAGGAUAAGAAGGCAAGUACGUUAGAAAUAUACAUACAUAGGCCGGGCGCAGUGGCUCACGCCUGUAAUCCCAGCACUUUGGGAGGCUGAGGUGGGCAGAUCACGAGGUAAGGAGAUUGAGACCAUCCUGGCUAACAUGGUGAAACCCCGUCUCUACUAAAAAUAAAAAAAAAAUAAAAAAAUAAAAAUUAGCCGGGCAUGGUGGCGGGCGACUGUAGUCAAAGCUACUCGGGAGGCUGAGGCAGGAGAAUGGCUUGAACCCAGGAGGCAGAGCUUGCAGUGAACCAAGAUCGCGCUACUGCACUCCAGCCCGGGCGACAGUGCGAGACUCCAUCUCAAAAAAAAAAAAAAGAAAAAAAGAAAAAAAUAUAUGUGUACCUACAUAGCAUUAAAACAAUUGCAGGAAAGACACCAAAUCUGUUACCAGCAGUUUUCUGGGUUGUGAAAUUUGUAGUUUUUAUUUCAUUAUAUUUUCUGGGUUUUUCUAGGUUUUCAGCAACAAAUACUGACAAAAGGAAAUGAACAGUUUUCAGAGACUUACUUUAAAACAGAGUUAAAGGAAUACACAUGAAAUUGGUAACAGUGGCUGCCCUUUUAGGCCCAAAGCCUCCAAGUCACCCCAGGACCCAGCUAGUUCCAGUGUCUUCACUCAGCAAGGCCUGCUCCAUCGGACACAAAACUGAUCAGGAGUUGGACCAUCUCCUCCCUGGGCAUUUUUCCCUGCAGUAGGGGUGGGCAGGCUGUGGGAGGGGCUGCAGUGGACACUGGGCCUCUGAGCUGGGACCACCUGUGUCCCCUGGGCCUGACACAGACCAGGACCUGAUGCACGAGUAAGAAUGAAUGGGGCCCAAUCGCCUAACAAAGGCAACUCAAUUUCAGCCCCGAUUGUUCCAGAAGGAUUUGCUGUAAGCAACCGGAGAAGUUGGCAUUUGUUCAACAUGGAAAAAGUGUCCCCCAACUUUGAAGCACUGAACCAAACAUCUUUGUUGAGGUUUCAUUCUCACGAUAUCUGCAAAUCAACGUUUUUUCCUUCACACUAAAAACGGGCAACUUUAGAGCCCACUAAAGCUAUACAAAAUUGGGAGGGGGCAUGCUCUGAUUUUCCAUUUUUAGUUCCAGGGUCCGUAUGCAGGACUUAUUUGCAGGAAGAGCAGGAAUGAUCAGUUCAACAAGAAAAGCCACACUCAGUUUUCACAGACAGACAACCCCUCCUUCCCACCCCUGCCCUGUCCCCCAUCAACUUAAGUGGCAUAUAAAUGAUUAAAGUGGCUUCAUUAACUCCAGGAGUGUGGCCUGUGCUAGGGCACCUGAUUUGUGCUAGACGAGGCCAGCAGAAGAGCAAUCGCUCUGCAAGAGAAAGGCUCGGCCCUUCCUUAAUCACCAUGGGUUAUAAUUCACCCUGACGUCCUUACACACAUGGAGGUGCCAGGAUACUGAGCUUUCCUAUAAGCAGGGCCUCAGCAGAAGUGCCUCCCUCCGAGCCUCCAGGGCCUGAGAGGAGAGCCCC